CUCAGGACGAACGCUGGCGGCACGCUUAACACAUGUUAGUCGAACGGAGAUAAUUACUUCGGUAUUUAUCUUAGUGGCGGACGGGUGAGUAACACGUGAGGAACCUGCCUUUCAGUGGGGGACAACAGUUGGAAACGACUGCUAAUACCGCAUAAUGUAUCUGGACCGCAUGAUCCGGAUACCAAAGCUUUAUGUGCUGAAAGAUGGUCUCGCGUCUGAUUAGCUAGAUGGCGGGGUAACGGCCCACCAUGGCGACGAUCAGUAGCCGGUCUGAGAGGAUGAACGGCCACAUUGGGACUGAGAUACGGCCCAGACUCCUACGGGAGGCAGCAGUGGGGAAUAUUGGGCAAUGGGGGGAACCCUGAUGCAGCGAUGCCGCGUGGAGGAAGAAGGUUUUCGGAUUGUAAACUCCUGUCGUAAGGGACGAUAAUGACGGUACCUUACAAGAAAGCUCCGGCUAACUACGUGCCAGCAGCCGCGGUAAUACGUAGGGAGCGAGCGUUGUCCGGAAUUACUGGGUGUAAAGGGAGAGUAGGCGGGGCUGCAAGUCCGUUGUUAAAUCCAUCGGCUCAACCGGUGGCUGCGGCGGAAACUGUAGUUCUUGAGUGAAGUAGAGGCAGGCGGAAUUCCUAGUGUAGCGGUGAAAUGCGUAGAUAUUAGGAGGAACACCAGUGGCGAAGGCGGCCUGCUGGGCUUUAACUGACGCUGAGGCUCGAAAGUGUGGGGAGCAAACAGGAUUAGAUACCCUGGUAGUCCACACUGUAAACGAUGAUUACUAGGUGUGGGGGGACUGACCCCUUCCGUGCCGGAGUAAACACAAUAAGUAAUCCACCUGGGAAGUACGGCCGCAAGGUUGAAACUCAAAGGAAUUGACGGGGGCCCGCACAAGCAGUGGAGUAUGUGGUUUAAUUCGAAGCAACGCGAAGAACCUUACCAGGUCUUGACAUCGUGCGCAUAGUAUAGAGAUAUAUGAAGUCCUUCGGGACGCAUAGACAGGUGGUGCAUGGUUGUCGUCAGCUCGUGUCGUGAGAUGUCGGGUUAAGUCCCUCAACGAGCGCAACCCUUAUCAUUAGUUGCUACGCAAGAGCACUCUAAUGAGACUGCCGUUGACAAAACGGAGGAAGGUGGGGAUGACGUCAAAUCAUCAUGCCCCUUAUGACCUGGGCUACACACGUACUACAAUGGCAUUCAACAGAGGGAAGCGAUACAGCGAUGUGGAGCAAAUCCUCAAAAAAUGUCCCAGUUCAGAUUGCAGGCUGCAACUCGCCUGCAUGAAGUCGGAAUUAAUAGUAAUCGCAGAUCAGCAUGCUGCGGUGAAUA
rnacentral:rRNA from 1 species